UCAUCACUCCUCUUAUAACCGAUCAAAAUGCCAACUAGAUUAUUAAUGAAAAUAUUAUUUAAAAAAAAAACAAAAAUAAUUGAAAAAAAAUAAUGCCACUAACAAGACCCUAGAUCUUAAAUUCUAAACCAUAAAUUCUAAGCCCUAAAUCUUAAACCCAAACUCUAAACCCUAAAUUCUAAACCUAAACUCUAAACCCUAAAUCCUAAAUUCAAACUCUAAACUCUAAAUCUUAAACCUAAACUCUAGAUCAUAAACCGAAACUCUUUACCCUAUACCCAAAUCAUAAACCUAAACCCU
rnacentral:lncRNA from 1 species